GAGAAGUUUAUUCCGACAGACAGGAAUGUUUAAAAGACUCAUUUCUUUGACGUUGAGAAAAAGUCUGGCAAUUUACUUCUUCAAACCGUUCAAUUUUAAAAAGAGCAUAGCAUUAAGACUUGUUUUUGAUUAUGUUGGCAUAGGUUUCACCAAAAAGAUAUACAUUUUAGAUAUGUUUAAGGUUUUUCUUCAUGAAUAAAGAAUUUUUCAAUCUAGUAAUUUAUUCUUCCCUUUCUGUCAUGACUUGGCUGUCGUUAUCCAUUCACCAGAGAACGAAUCGUGGUUUAUUUUACCUGUCUGUGAAAAAUGCUUUAAAAUUUUUGGUUUUUCCAGAUGUUUCGCAAUCACAUUUUCUGUUUGAAAGAAUUUUGGUUUUCCCCCAGUUGUUUGGCAAUUUCUAUAAUUUCAAGGCCCAACAUUUCUGUGCUCCGGAUAUCCCCACCCUGAUACUUUUUUCAAAUCGACAAAAAACCUUUGUUGGAAUAUUUGCGCUUUUGCCACCCACGCCUGAUUUAUGAAAGGAUUUUUUGUUCGGUGUCUAGAAGUGCUUACAUCAGGCUGAUAUCACGCGCUCACCUCAUGUCAUUUCAUCCAAUCAGACAACGCCAAGUAUGUUUUGGCACCACACCACACCACACUUGAACUUUGGAGUAAAACUCUAAUCCAUGUUUCUCUUCACCAAAAUCUUCCGAUUAAAUACAAAACGGCUUUGAUAUUUAUCAUUUGGACAAUUUUGGAUUAAGGAAUAUACAUCAUGUCUUCAAAGUACUACCAAAUGUUAGCCUUGUAAAAUACCAAUAAAAGUUUCAUUCGUAAAAGGUGCUAUUGCUAAUCUAAUGCUCGUUUCUUUGCUAAAUGACCAAAGUAGUAAAACAAAGAGAACGUGAAUGGAAUAAAAUGAUUCAAAGCAAUCAUCAGCGACCAACAUGCCGAAAAAUGACGCAUACAUGCAUCACGUCUUUUCAUUUUCGUAAAAUGUUCACUGCGUCAAAUUACAAUUAUCGGUGAUUCAAAAAACUUUUGCCAAAAGAGAUGGUGCAAACCAUACUUUAUUAGCCAUGGAAAUUAGUCAUCGCAAUUAGUCACUAAUCAGCCGAAACAUCGUUGUGCCAGUUUAUUCGGUUUUAAACUCUCUCAAACUGAUCUACCCUGGAAUGUUUUACCAUGCUCAGUUUUGUAGAAACAUGUGACUUCUCUAUUAUUUUUAUAUCACUCGAAGGAUAGUAACUACGCAUGUAUGUCAUUCACUCCAGUCUACUGAGCUUCUAAAAUAACAAUAAACAAUUAUGCUAUAUCACUAGGACAAGUAUGUUGAAGCACUCACACGUAAAUUGUAUAUAGACCAGCGCUACCUUUUUCCCAGAAGUGUUAGUUUGCUUCUCUCCUAAGUGUGCCUGUGUACAUAGGCUACAAAGCACUGCAUACUUUUAAAAAAUCAAUGAAGAAUUUCAUGGAAAAACACCGCUAUAUCUAUCAUUUUUCUAAAAUAUGAGUUAAUUAAGAUGACCAACAUUUUGUUCAUAAAAAUAUCUGAUAAUUGACACCUUGUCUGCCAAAGUCCGAUAUGUAUUUUUGAAGAUAUGAUAAAUUGUAUAUCAUAUUUUCUUAUUAUUCUCUUUAUUUUAGCAGACAAUAUUCAUGCAUCAUCUCAAAAUUAAUAAAAUGGAUAUAUUGCUUUCAGCAAUGAAACUCUUCAAAUGCUGACAUAUCAUUAGUCAAACUCAGUUUUCAUCAUUCAGUUAUUCACUUUGCCUGCAAGUUGUGAAGACUGCAGAUUAAAAAAAGCUUUUUUGCUUUAGCGUUUUGGUGUAAUGUUUCAAUAUCAAAUCCCCCAUUAAAGAAAGAGGAGGUGAAAUGAAUUCAGUUGAGAAGGAUGAAAUUAUACAAUUAUAUCAAUGUUUCCUAGCCAUCAUCCUUAUGUUUUUAAUUAAAUUUAGGUAAAGCAAACAAUCAAUUAAACCAUUUACCGUGAAACCACGAACACACGUUAAGAUUUAAACAAAUGCAUUCGAUCUGUUGCAAAUUCUACACCCUGGGGCAGACAGAACACUUCAACAGUUGCGUUGACAGAGGUGAAAGGCUAUAAAUACGCAUAACAAGAUCAAUGAGGACAUGUGAAAGUUUGUCAAACUUCCAUUGGUACGGAAUAUUGGAGUCAGUUAAAUGAAGGCUUUCGCUAGACUAGAGAAGGCAAACAUGGAAUCUACUGAUUGCAAGAAAGAGACGAGACCAGAAGCGAAAGACCCUAGCAAGGCUUCGGGAAAGGCUUCCAUCAUUCAGAAGAUAGAUCGUGAAUGUAUGAUACCCCAAGGUCUGACCCCGGUCGAUGGUAAUGAGCCAAGAAGAAGUAGGAAACCAAGGAAAGAAGAUCCUGAUACGUGACGAUCAGUCCUACCAGCGUGACGCAGUGAGGAGCUUAGCCGUGCAACACCGCUCAGCGCCCGUACCAAAACAUCGGCCAAACACGCUCAUUCACACAGUACGGUAUCUGCACAAUAAAGCUCCAGCAGUCGUCACAAUAUUUACAUGGAACUUAUGCAUUUACACCUGUCUUUUCAUGUAAUUAUAAGAACUGACUUCGGAAAGUGGUUUGAUGACAUACAGGAACUCAUUAAUUCCAUAUCGAUUACUGGAUUUCCGUGAUGAAAAUAGCAUGUGGAGUAGCUGGAGGCCGUUCCAUAUAUCAUAAACAAUCUAGGGUAUUGAAGUUGUUUAAUUUCUUCUAAACUCAGAGUUACUCAGCUACGUAAAUACAUGCAAUACUUAGGAAACACCACUUGAAAAAGAUUUCUGUGUAUGAAAUAAUUCCUUUAGUUUAUGGUAUUUUUUCUGCAAUGCCUGUUAUGGUGUAUAUGAGGGUAUAUAAUACCAAGCAUUUUCAGUAUGUUUCAGUGAUAGAAAAUGGAGCUAGAUGAGAGUUGUAUUUUAUAACCAAGCUUCAAAACUAUUCUGAAUACAGCAAUGAUCAGAUGUGAAGUGCAAACUCCAAUAUGCACAACUUCAAACAGUUUUCAGUUCCUGAUAAGGUCUCAUUUCCUUUCUAGAUAGAAAGAGACUUGAAAACUGAUGUGUAUUUCAUUAACCAGUACAGUGUUGAUGACAUUGUUUUCGAAAGUCAUCUCAAAUAAUCAUUUUAUACCUAGGCAUGUAAGAAUGUAAGAUAACUGUUCAUGGAACUGAUGCCUCUCACACGUUGGUUUUUUUUUCUUACUGAGUUUGUAGCUUUUCUGUUUAGGAUAUUGUGGGCAGUUUUGUAAAUAAAUGCAUUGAGGUGGGAGGAUUAAAUUCUCUGUUUUAAGCUGUACAGUAGCGGUCUCUGUUCAUAAUUAUGCUACUGUCGCAAUGCUGCUUUCAGUGUACAUGUGGGAAGAUUCCUAAAAUAUGAACCGUCAUAAAAUUAAUGAUGCAUAGAGAGCCGACGGCCUGUCUGUGUGUUGAGAGGUGAUAUCUUCAUCUGAGCUUGUCAUCAUCUGUGAAGCACGAGUCCUUGACUCGUUAGCCAUCGACGGGUUUACACGACAGGUUUAAUCGCUGCUGAUUAUCUGCUACUGCAUGCUACACUUCGAUGUCUUCAUAAUACCCUCAAUUAAGUCUGGUUUUCUCAUUAAGAACGUAGAGAAUAUCUAAGAGUUUAUGCAAAUGAGCUACUUAUGGAAUGGGGAACCACUGUUCUCUUCAAGGUGCGUGGUAAAAAAGUUUAACUUCCCUCACGUAAGUUGUGAUCCACAGUCCAAAACCAUAUGUGUAAUACAAAGCAAACAUAAAGAGAAUACAGAAUUGUUUUCACCAUUGUAGAGUAUAAAACAAAACGGUCUCUACAAUGAUUGAUAUUCUAAUACAUCAUAACUGGUGUUCCAGUUGGUGUGGCAAAAUUCAAAAUUUUUGUAACUAAGCUAUAAUACUACCAAUUGAUAGUGGGGUAAUUAAUCGCAUUACUAGCCUCCAAAAAAAUUCGCGGAUGAAUUUAUAGACCAGCAUUGUGAUCAACAGUAGUAGUCUGAGCAUCUGGAAAAUUGUUUUGAUCAGAGCGAGUCGACACUGGCUUCCUGUGAACUAAGUUCUCAUUUGUUGAAUGCCAGCCAUCUGGAGUUUAUAAACAGAUUGGAAUGUGAAUCAUUCCAUUCAGGUUGGUACAUUCAGAAAGUGAAUGUUGUUUAAUAGAGGUCACUGUCGUCACUCUCUGAAAACAAGGGAUACAGUAAUCUGUUUUUCUCUGUCGUAUUCAUUUCAAAUCUUCAUCAAUUAAAAGAAAGCAAAAAGAUAUCUGUCA